CAGCCGCCGCGGUAAUACGAAGGGUGCAAGCGUUAAUCGGAAUUACUAGGCGUAAAGCGUGCGUAGGCGGUUUGUCAAGUCUGCUGUGAAAUCCCCGGGCUCAACCUGGGAAUGGCAGUGGAUACUGGCAAGCUAGAGUGUGUCAGAGGAUGGUGGAAUUCCCGGUGUAGCGGUGAAAUGCGUAGAGAUCGGGAGGAACAUCAGUGGCGAAGGCGGCCAUCUGGGACAACACUGACGCUGAGGCACGAAAGCGUGGGGAGCAAACAGGAUUAGAUACCCCGCGUAGUCCCUGUCUCUUAAC
rnacentral:rRNA from 1 species